GCAUUCUUAGUAUAUUUAUGUAUAGCCGUUUUCCAUGCGGGUGGUCCGAAUAAUUCGGAGGGUGUU
rnacentral:tRNA from 1 species